UACAGAGGUCCCAAGCGUUGUUCGGAUGCAUUGGGCGUAAAGGGUUCGUAGGCGGCGCGGUAAGUCGGGUGUGAAAUCUCGGGGCUUAACUCCGAAACUGCAUUCGAUACUGCCGUGCUUGAGGACUGGAGAGGAGACUGGAAUUUACGGUGUAGCGGUGAAAUGCGUAGAUAUCGUAAGGAAGACCAGUGGCGAAGGCGGGUCUCUGGACAGUUCCUGACGCUGAGGCACGAAGGCCAGGGGAGCAAACGGG
rnacentral:rRNA from 1 species